rnacentral:rRNA from 1 species
GGCCACAGCCAUAUCACCCUGUAGCCCAAGACUGGUCGCCCACUUAAGCUAAGCAGGGUUGAGCCUGGUCAGUACCUGGAUGGGAGACCUCCUGGGAAAACUAAGUUGCUGUUGGAA